CGGAUGGUAGUUUAAGUUUAAGAACACUGGUUUUGGGGGUCAGAGGACCUUGGGAGAGGCCGUCCGA
rnacentral:tRNA from 1 species